AGUUUUCUUCCUACAUAGUAUUAUCUACGUAUAUGCUACUUCCACGAGAAAGUAUGCGAAUGAAAAGUAUAUCGCUUCAUAGUCUGGUAUGCCGAGAGACUCGAGUGGUCACUUUUCCCCGAAGUUUUCGGUGGCGCUUUUUGAGUGCGGAUGGUCACGUGACUUUCGAAAAGGAAGCCCUUUGGGCACCUUCGAUCAUUCUCCGAUUCCUCUCCACCCAUACACACCCGUGCAAAGCACAUUAUAUUUCACGUCACGCCAUAAUAGCACACUGACCAUACACACGAUUUAGUAUCGGUCUGUCCUUCCAGUGAGCACAGUCUAAACUCGUACUGCUUCAAUAGAUUGAUUGUAUGGCUUCGGGAGGUAGGCUACCCACCCAAUUCUCUGUGCUGAAGUUUGAAGUUUCCUUGUCCACGAUUUCCUCCACGUUUACUUAUUUUCACGACGCCGUUCCUCUCUCGACAGAUGCCGGUGGGAGUAAGGAGUCCACUUUGUAGUAGGAAACAUUCUUCUUCGAGCUAUCUGGUGGAAGACUCACCGAGAUGUCACAGAAUAAUUCUUCUUUUUGCAGAUUUUAAGAACGUCUGAAAACCCUCAGAUGAUGUCCAGUGAAGAAGAUGAGGAAAAAUACUACUGAUGUAAGUAUAGUUAAGAGCAAGAAUCCGCUCUGGCAUUUUUUUAAAUUAUCAAUUAGAUUAAAUCAAUUACAUAUUCAUCAGUCAGAAGAAUAUUAGUGUCAUAUUCAAAAUAAUUCAUAUUGCUUAUUUUGUUCUGUUAGGUUACCACAAAUUUAUAUCUAAAUGAUGCCAAUCAGUAAAGCAAUAAAUUGCAAUGUUGUAUUAUUCACAAUACCAUUUUUGUUUAAUUUACCUAUAUUUUGCUAAUAUAAUGAUAGUAUCGUUUCAUAUUAAGAAUAAUUCAUAUUGAUUAUUUCGUUCUUUUAGGUUACCACAAAUAUAUAUCUAAAUGAUGCCAAUCAGUAAAGCAAUAAAUUGCAAUGUUUCAUGUACCUUGUGCGGUUUUAAAAAUCUUGUAUUAUUCACAAUCCCAUUUUUUUUUAAUUCAACUUUAUUUUGCUAAUAGUUUCUUUUAAUAACCUUGUUAUUUCAAGAAAACUAAUAUUAAUUUCCGGAUCUAUACGUUAAUCUAUUUUAAUAAAAACAGUCAUAAAAAAAGUCGUGUAAUUAUAUAAAGCUAUACGUCCUGGUUAUAGAUUGUUGUACUCUUAAUCACAUCGUACCUUCUUUUUUUUCCAGAUAAAAGUUGCUUUACCUUUUUGUGAUAAUUUCAAAUGUAGUUUGAUUAUGUUUUCUUUACUAUCCAUGGCUUCUUAACGGUUUGUACUUGCAGUUUAUGAAAUUUUGAUUUCGUUCUUUUUGUAUUUGUGUUCGUUAUUACGGUGUGCAGUGUAAUACAAAGUUUAUGUUAUGUUUCUUGCUUGGCUUUUCUGUUCAUUCUAUGCACAUUUCCAUCGCAUAUUGGUUGUCAGUUAAAAAAGUGUGCUUGAUUUACACCAUGUUUACUUUAAGUUUGUUGAAAAGUAAUUACAUUUUGUUGUGUUUUAUGCUUUGCUUUGCUGUUCAUUCUAUGCGCAUUUCCAUCAUACUGUUGUCAGUUAAGAAAGUGUUCUUGAUUUACUCCAUGUUUACUUUAAAUAUGUGAAACAGUAAUUAUAUCAUGACAUCACCUUUACAAAUCCACAUUGCUGCUCACGUUUAUCAAAUAUUAAUUAGUGACAGUGAAAAAUCAAAACCUCUCGUUGAACUUUUAUGAUUUUAACGACAAUUCAUUUUUUGUUUAAUGUACCUUGUGCAGUUUUAAAAAGAAUAUUAAUUUCGUUGUCUCUGAUUUCAGGGAUAUAUUCAUCAUCAUUUGCUUUUCUUUUCGCUGGUAAAUAUUUCACUCAAGAACACUGUCUUUCAUAUCUUAUAUCUUUAUUAUUUUUUUCUUUUUAAAGGCAUUUCUCAUGGAUACUCGCAAUUUAGCAUAAUAAACUUUGAUAUUAUCAAGCUACCUUAUAGGGCGCAUUCGACUAAGACAUUUCGACGAGCAUCAUCAACUUCUUUAAAUUUUAUUUUCUGAAGCUGACGAUUACCAAAAAUAAAUUUACCA